rnacentral:tRNA from 1 species
GGGUUGUUAGCUCAGUUGGCAGAGUAGGUGACUCUUAAUCACUCGGUCGUGGAUCCCCACAACCCACCA